UACAGAGGGUGCAAGCGUUAAUCGGAAUUACUGGGCGUAAAGCGCGCGUAGGCGGUUUGUUAAGUCAGCUGUGAAAGCCCCGGGCUCAACCUGGGAAUUGCAGUUGAUACUGGCAAGCUAGAGUGUGGUAGAGGGUAGUGGAAUUCCAGGUGUAGCGGUGAAAUGCGUAGAUAUCUGGAGGAACAUCAGUGGCGAAGGCGGCUACCUGGACCAACACUGACGCUGAGGUGCGAAAGCGUGGGGAGCAAACAGG
rnacentral:rRNA from 1 species